UUAAUAAUUUAUAUAAAAUAUUAUUGAUGAAUAUUUAUAUAAUAUUAACAUAAUUCAUAUUACUAUAUAUUUUAGUAUAUGAAAUUUUACUUUGAGAAAAUUAGAGUGCUUAAAGCAGGCAUAUGCCUUGAAUACUCCAGCAUGGAAUAAUAUUAAAGAUUUUUAUCUUUCUUAUUGGUUCUAAGAUAAGAAUAAUGAUUAAUAGGGACAGUUGGGGGCAUUUGUAUUUAACAGUCAGAGGUGAAAUUCUUAGAUUUGUUAAAGACAAACUAAUGCGAAAGCAUUUGCCAAGGAUGUUUUCAUUAAUCAAGAACGAAAGUUAGGGGAUCGAAGACGAUCAGAUACCGUCGUAGUCUUAACCAUAAACUAUGCCUAACUAAAGAUUGGAGGUUGUU
rnacentral:rRNA from 1 species